rnacentral:lncRNA from 1 species
UAACACAACUGGCAAAGGUCACUUUCAGAUGCGCUAUUUGGUGGAUGUGGAAGGAGAGAUGUAAUAGAAUCUUUGAAUGUCAACACACAAACAAUGCUCAGCUCUUGAAAGAGAUUAUUAGAGACUCAAGAUCCUGUUUGGAGCAAGAUCUCAAAACCGAGCACUUCACCCGAAAAGAAAAAGAUAUUUUUAUCAAAUUUAAUUUUGCUAUUAGCAAAAGAUCUUGGGAAUGAUGCCAAAUAAUGUACCCACAGGUAGUUAUAGUCUACAGCAUGUGUAGUCAUAACUAUCGCAUUCGCACUCUAUGAGUUACUUGGCUUUGUC